rnacentral:rRNA from 1 species
AUUGAACGCUGGCGGCAGGCUUAACACAUGCAAGUCGAGCGGAGUGAUGGUGCUUGCACUAUCACUUAGCGGCGGACGGGUGAGUAAUGCUUAGGAAUCUGCCUAUUAGUGGGGGACAAUAUCUCGAAAGGGAUGCUAAUACCGCAUACGUCCUACGGGAGAAAGCAGGGGAUCACUUGUGACCUUGCGCUAAUAGAUGAGCCUAAGUCGGAUUAGCUAGUUGGUGGGGUAAAGGCCUACCCAGGCGACGAUCUGUAGCGGGUCUGAGAGGAUGAUCCGCCACAGUGGGACUGAGACACGGCCCAGACUCCUACGGGGGGCAGCAGUGGGGAAUAGCGGACAAUGGGGGGAACCCUGAUCCAGCCAUGCAGCGUGUGUGAAGAAGGCCUUAUGGUUGUAAAGCACUUUAAGCGAGGAGGAGGCUCUUUUGGUUAAUACCCAAGAUGAGUGGACGUUACUCGCAGAAUAAGCACCGGCUAACUCUGUGCCAGCCGCCGCCGUAA